UCCCAGUGAGGGAACACUCACCUGUCUUACCUUCUGUCCUGAUCACAGAGCCUGUAAAGGGGAACCCACUGCGGCUGGCUGGGGGACAAGAGGAGAACGUGUUCCCAAUAGAACUGUCUGAGGGCU
rnacentral:snoRNA from 1 species